CCAAACAUCAGAAUUACAAUCCGAGUCCCUCACAGAACGAUUAAAACGCAUGAACGCCCCUCCACGUGCGAUCCCAAGCGAAACGGUACAUAAAAUAUCGCGAUUUUUAUGAAAAUACCGUUUUGCCACUAUCGACCUUUCCUCGAUCAACGCGCGAUCUCCGCAGAUCCGUCCGUCAGAUUCGCGAACGGUUCGCACCAGUGCGAUCAGCACGACGGAGACAACAAAGCUACGAUUUCGUUUCAUCUCGAUCGACCACGGAUUCAUGACAAAAUCCAACCUUCUUCCAAUAGAAGGAAACACACACAUAAAUACAUAUAAAACAUGUAUU
rnacentral:lncRNA from 1 species